rnacentral:rRNA from 1 species
GAUGAACGCUGGCGGCGUGCCUAAUACAUGCAAGUCGAGCGAACGGACGAGAAGCUUGCUUCUCUGAUGUUAACGGCGGACGGGUGAGUAACACGUGGAUAACCUACCUAUAAGACUGGGAUAACUUCGGGAAACCGGAGCUAAUACCGGAUAGUAUUUUGAACCGCAUGGUUCAAAAGUAAAAGACGGUCUUGCUGUCACUUAUAGAUGGAUCCGCGCUGCAUUAGCUAGUUGGUAAGGUAACGGCUUACCAAGGCAACGAUGCAUAGCCGACCUGAGAGGGUGAUCGGCCACACUGGAACUGAGACACGGUCCAGACUCCUACGGGAGGCAGCAGUAGGGAAUCUUCCGCAAUGGGCGAAAGCCUGACGGAGCAACGCCGCGUGAGUGAUGAAGGUCUUCGGAUCGUAAAACUCUGUUAUUAGGGAAGAACAUAUGUGUAAGUAACUGUGCACAUCUUGACGGUACCUAAUCAGAAAGCCACGGCUAACUACGUG